AAGUAUACAUCUCGGUGUAGUAAAAAGGGACACCUGAUAAACAAACAUGACUCUAUCUCCAUUUUACACUAUUGGUCAGGUUUUUAGUUGAUGUGGUAGAUGUUUCUUUUUCCACCACAGAGAAGAAAAACAUCAUCUAAAAAACCACUGAAGCUAAAUUUACCAAUAAAAAAUCUUUUCAUUUCAAUAAGCAUGAUUAGGUAAGAAAACUCCUGAAAUGAGAAGCAAAUCCUUCAGUUUUAUUAUGUCACAGUUUCCCAGUCUUUUUCUUUCCUAAGGCAAAUCUUCCAAAAUUAUUUCAUAUGAAGCUUUCGCUAAAGAAAGGAAACAGUUGUUAAUUUCUCUUUUUCUAAUCACCUAAAAGCUUUAGGAUAGAAUUCUUUUUUUUUUAAAAUAAAUCUUUUUUAUUUUUAUUUUAGAGAGAGAGAGAGAGAGAGAGAGAGAGAAUUUCAAUAUUUAUUUUUCAGUUUUUGGCGUAUACAACAUCUUUGUUUGUAUGUGGUGUUGAGGAUCGAACCCGGGCCGCACGCAUGCCAGGCGAGCGUGAUACCACUUGAGCCACAUCCCCAGCCCCUAGGAUAGAAUUCUUAAAACACACACACACAAACUUUUUUGUUGCCAUUCUUUCCCUGCGUGCAGCCUGGCCAGGUCAUCUUGGUAAUAUACCAGACUUUGAAGAUUUAGUGUUUAAGCAAAGCAAAACAAAACAAAUUUUAAGCCAGUCACAGAGGUUCACACUUAUAAUCUCUGUGACUCUGGAGACUGACCCAGGAGCACCUCGAGGUCAAGGUUAGCCUGUGCAACAUAGGAAGUACUCAGUGAUUCAUUUUAUAUUUCAAAAAAUGUGGUAUUGGGCUGGGGAUGUGGCUCAAGCGGUAGCGCGCUCGCCUGGCAUGCGUAUGCCCGGGUUGGAUCCUCAGCACCACAUACAAACAAAAAUGUUGUGUCCGCCGAAAACUAAAAAAAAAUAAAUAUUAAAAAAAAUGUGGUAUUGGGAAUUGAACCAAGGGGCCCUCUAUUACUGAACCCCAUCCCUUAUUUUUUUUCUUUUAAUUUUGUGAGGGUCUCACUAAAUUGCCCAGGAUGGCCUCAAAGCUGCAAUCCUACCUUCCUGAGUAGAUGGGAUUCAAGUGUGUGCCACCAUGCCCUGCUCAUGCAGAUCCACAGAAAAUUAAUUUAAAAAAUAACUGUGUGGGGGGCACUGGGGUUGUGGGGUUGUGGUUGUAGAGCGCUCGCCUCACAAGUGUGAGGCCCUGGGUUUCAUCCUCAGCACCACAUAAAAAAAUAAAUAAAAUAAAGAUAAAAAAAUAACUGUGGGUAAAUGGCAGAAAGAUCAAUAUCAGGAAGGAAACAGCAGUGGGUAGAGGGAAGGGGAAGGAGAGGUACUGGGGUAUGAAUUAGAGCAAGAUAUAUUCUGUGCUUGUAUAAUUAUGUAAAAUGGAUUCUACUAUCAUGUAUAACUAAAAAGAACCAAUAAAGAAAAUAUGGGUUGAGGGAUCAGUUGGUAGAGUGCUAGCCUUGCAUGCAUAUAAGCCCUGGGUUCAAUCCCCAGCACCACCACACACACCGCCCCUCCCCCCCCCAAAAAAAAGUGUAAUUUUCAUUUUGCUUGCCCCUCACGAGAAAGGAGAACUCUCUCCUUGGUAGUUUCACAUGAAUCUGUCAAAUUUGCAAAUGAAUCUGAAAAUAAAGUGUGUGUAUGUAUAUAAAUAUAUACUUGUCAUGUUUGUGUUGAAACAUCUACUUGCAGAGUCAAGCAUCUGACAAGUUUCUUCAGAUUCAUUUGCAUGUGUCAGGAAGCCCCUGAACUUGAUGCCCUUUCUCAGCCUUUCUUCCUUCUCUCACUUUCUUUUCUAUUUUGAAUUUAG
rnacentral:lncRNA from 1 species